rnacentral:piRNA from 2 species
UCCUUCCUCAAAACUUCAAGUGCUC